rnacentral:tRNA from 1 species
UGGGGGAUCGUCUAGCGGUAGGACAGCAGACUCUGGAUCUGCGUACCGAGGUUCGAAUCCUCGUCCCCCAG